rnacentral:rRNA from 1 species
UAGGGAAUCUUCCACAAUGGACGCAAGUCUGAUGGAGCAACGCCGCGUGAGUGAAGAAGGUUUUCGGAUCGUAAAGCUCUGUUGUUGGUGAAGAAGGAUAGAGGCAGUAACUGGUCUUUAUUUGACGGUAAUCAACCAGAAAGUCACGGCUAACUACGUGCCAGCAGCCGCGGUAAUACGUAGGUGGCAAGCGUUGUCCGGAUUUAUUGGGCGUAAAGCGAGCGCAGGCGGAAUGAUAAGUCUGAUGUGAAAGCCCACGGCUCAACCGUGGAACUGCAUCGGAAACUGUCAUUCUUGAGUGCAGAAGAGGAGAGUGGAACUCCAUGUGUAGCGGUGGAAUGCGUAGAUAUAUGGAAGAACACCAGUGGCGAAGGCGGCUCUCUGGUCUGCAACUGACGCUGAGGCUCGAAAGCAUGGGUAGCGAACAGGAUUAGAUACCCUGGUAGUCCAUGCCGUAAACGAUGAGCGCUAGGUGUUGGGGACUUUCCGGUCCUCAGUGCCGCAGCAA